rnacentral:rRNA from 1 species
GACGAACGCUGGCGGCGUGCUUAACACAUGCAAGUCGAACGGUGAAGCGCCUUCCUUUUUGGUGGGUGUGGAUGAGUGGCGAACGGGUGAGUAACACGUGAGUAACCUGCCCCCUUCUUCUGGAUAACCGCAUGAAAGUGUGGCUAAUACGGGAUAUUCUGGGUCUGUCGCAUGAUGGGUCUGGGAAAGAUAUUGUUUCGGUGGGGGAUGGGCUCGCGGCCUAUCAGCUUGUUGGUGGGGUGAUGGCCUACCAAGGCGGCGACGGGUAGCCGGCCUGAGAGGGUGGACGGUCACACUGGGACUGAGACACGGCCCAGACUCCUACGGGAGGCAGCAGUGGGGAAUAGUGCACAAUGGGCGCAAGCCUGAUGCAGCGACGCCGCGUGAGGGAUGGAGGCCUUCGGGUUGUGAACCUCUUUCGCCAGUGAAGCAGGCCUGCCUCGUUUGUGGGUGGGUUGACGGUAGCUGGAUAAGAAGCGCCGGCUAACUACGUG